rnacentral:rRNA from 1 species
UACAGGGGGUGCAAGCGUUGUUCGGAAUUAUUGGGCGUAAAGCGCGUGUAGGCGGACCACUAAGUCUGGUGUGAAAUCCCUCGGCUCAACUGAGGACGUGCAUUGGAUACUGGUGGCCUUGAGUCCUGGAGAGGGUAGCGGAAUUCCCAGUGUAGAGGUGAAAUUCGUAGAUAUUGGGAGGAACACCGGUGGCGAAGGCGGCUACCUGGACAGUGACUGACGCUGAGACGCGAAAGCAUGGGUAGCAAACAGG